rnacentral:rRNA from 1 species
GUGAGGAAUAUUGCGCAAUGGAGGCAACUCUGACGCAGCCAUGCCGCGUGCAGGAAGAAGGCGCUACGCGUUGUAAACUGCUUUUAACCGGGAAGAAACCCCAGGACGUGUCCUGGGUUGACGGUACCGGAGGAAUAAGCACCGGCUAACUUCGUGCCAGCAGCCGCGGUAAUACGAAGGGUGCAAGCGUUAUCCGGAUUCAUUGGGUUUAAAGGGUGCGUAGGCGGAGCGUUAAGUCAGUGGUGAAAUCCUGCAGCUUAACUGUAGACGUGCCAUUGAUACUGGCGCUCUUGAGUGCGCUUGAAGUGGGCGGAAUGUGCCGUGUAGCGGUGAAAUGCUUAGAUAUGGCACAGAACACCAAUUGCGAAGGCAGCUCACUAAGGCGAUACUGACGCUGAGGCACGAAAGCGUGGGGAUCGAACAGGAUUAGAAACCCGGGUAGUCC